GAUGAAGAACGUAGCGAAAUGCGAUAAGUAAUGUGAAUUGCAGAAUUCAGUGAAUCAUCGAAUCUUUGAACGCACCUUGCACUCUUUGGCAUUCCGAAGGGUAUGCUCGUUUGAGUGUCAUUGUACUCUCACUCUCCCGAUACUUUUGGAUCGGGAGUGGUGGACUUGGGUGCUGCUGCUUAACUGUGGCUCGCCUUAAAUGAAGUAGUGCAACUCUCGGUUGGACAUAGUACGGCGUGAUAAGUGUCUUCGCCGGCGCCUCAUUCGAGGGUGGCCGAUCGGGAGCUCUGUGCUUCAAACUGUCUUCGGACAACAUCUGACAACUUGACCUCAAAUCGAGUAGGACUACCCGCUGAACUUAAGCAUAUCAAUAAGCGGAGGA
rnacentral:misc_RNA from 1 species